UCCGGGUCGGCGCGGCCCUGGUGCGCGCGGCCUGUGCCCGCGCCGAGGCCGCCGGCGCGCUGCGGUUCGAGGCCGACGUCCAGGCC
rnacentral:tRNA from 1 species